rnacentral:rRNA from 1 species
GACGAACGCUGGCGGCGUGCCUAAUACAUGCAAGUAGAACGCUGACGGAGGAGCUUGCUUCUCUUGAUGAGUUGCGAACGGGUGCGUAACGCGUAGGUAACCUGCCUGGUAUCGGGGGAUAACUAUUGGAAACGAUAGCUAAUACCGCAUAACAGUAGAUGUUCCAUGACAUUUGCUUAAAAUGUGCAAUUGCAUCACUAUCAGAUGGACCUGCCUUGUUUUAGCUAGUUGGUGGGGUAACGGCUCACCAAGGCGAAGAUACAUAGCCGACCUGAGAGGGUGAUCGGCCAAACUGGGAAUGAGACACGGCCCAGACUCCUACGGGAGGGAGCAGGAGGGAAUCUUCGGCAAUGGACGGAAGUCUGACCGAGCAACGCCGCGUGAGUGAAGAAGGUUUUCGGAUCGGAAAGCUCUGUUGUAAGAGAAGAACGAGUGUGAGAGUGGAAAGUUCACACUGUGACGGUAUCUUACCAGAAAGGGACGGCUAACUACGUG